CCUCAUUCACACUUUCUGCACUCUUUAUUGAGCCAGAGUGCUUAUUCUUGCAUACUUUUUCCCUUUAUCUAAGGGAUAAUCAGUCAUUAAUUGUCCUUUUAUUAUCAAGGCUCAUCAUACAUUCGUCCCCCUCAAGUGGAUACCAGUUGCGUCCAACUCCACCCAGCCACCCUGAAGUGACAGUCCAAGAAUGCGGAAAUGUUUCUUACAAAAUAAAGAAAAAGAAAAGAAAUGGGCUACAUCAAAAUAUAAAUCUGUCCCCAAUGCUCUUCUGCUGUGAACCUCACCUUUAUUACAUGUAACGUCUAUGUGGCAGUGCAGGCAGUGUAUUGCAAAGGAGAGUUGAAGGAUUCAGACAGAGUCACAAAGUACCAUGGAGCAAACUGAAGGGGGAGUGUAUGUCAUACUGAAGGAGGGAGAACUGCCUGACGUUGACCCACAGGACACUGGUGUCUUAAUUAAACGUGUGGAAGUCCUCAGUGAUAUAUUGUUUGAACCUGAGCUACUCACCAGAGCUCAAAUGCACUUGAAGUCAUGCAGAAGAUCCUUCGAAAUCUAAAUGGACAGAGGAGGGGAGAAAAUAUUCCCCUAAGGAUUGGGACACUACUACCAUGACAUCACAUGUCAUCCUUCUUCAUCUAGCUCUUACAAUACACACAUAUACUGGUGUGCAUUAGAGCCUUUAAUUAUCGUUCUGUAUUAAUGAGCUGCUUACUGACACACACACAUAUCGGAAAUCGCGCAGCUCACACAUCCAGGAGAAAAUAAACUUGUCAAUGCUGCCCCAUGAUUUUUGUUAAAUACAGUUUAAAUACUAAAUGGCCCUUCCCCUUCCCCUCCAACCAAAGGAGAAUCGAGACACCCCUACCCCUUCACAUGAACGCGCGAAAAGGAUGGGAAGGGGAAAGGGGAAGGGCUAAGGGGUAGAAUUGGAUUGGGCCUUAAAGUGACUUAAGCGGUUUAAACUUUAUUGGUGCAUGUUAAAGCCUAAUAAUAUAUAUUGUUAGCAUUUUUUGUGUGCGUUUCUUUCUCUUUUUUUUUCUAGAUUUCUGAAUUUUUGGUAUUGUCUUGCUGCUUAGCGCGGUCUUCUAAAACAAAUCUAAAUUAAACCACAAGAUAGAUUUUCAUUAAACUACCAAAACAAGACAUUAACUAGUUGAUGUAACAAGACAGAAUUUUGUUGAAUUGAUGUGCUUUACUGACAUGGAAUGAAUAAGAGUAAAUUUGAUUAGACUAACACAAUACACACAUUUUGAUUCAAUUAGUUGCAAAGAAGUUACAUUGACAUAUCCCAAACAUAUUUAAUCUACAAAUGUAUAUGGUGUUCAUAUAACACAAUCAAAGCAGUCCAAGUUUACUUGAUUUGAUUAGAUGCAUAAUGGGUGCUACGAUUAAAUCACGUUCAUUCAACAAAUAAUUUUUUUGAGUGCAGGUACUUGACCUCGUUUUCUAAAAGCAUGCCGUUCUGCAAUUACAUUCGGUCAAUGAACAAAGUAUGCUUGUAAAACCUCAAUAGCUUCCUCCAUCGUCUCUCUUUGAUUUGGCAAAGUAUAAACUAAUAUCUGACCUUCUGUGCCCAAACAAUGAAGAAAUAUAGCUUUCUUUCGUGCAACAGUCCAUUCAUCUCCAGAUGCAUUCAAAACUAAUAAAUAAUUCCUUGAAAUAUUUAGCCAAACAUCAAAGGAUAUCGAAGGCUCACCAGGUAAUGGCAGAAAUGGUGUAGGAAAUUCAAAUUCAUUAGAAACUGCAGCCAUCUUUCAAUCAUAAAGGUAAAAUCCUCAUCGCCAAUUUUGUAGUGUUUCAAGUCCAGGUAAGCAUGAAGAGUCAGAUUCCAGAAGUUACAGUUUGACACCAUGGUAUAAUGAGCAUACUCGCACCCUAAAGAGAGCAGCCCGAAAAAUGGAGCGCAGCUGGAGGAAAACAAAAAUAGAGGUAUUUCGUAUUGCUUGGCGGGAAAGUAGCA